GACGAACGCUGGCGGCGUGCUUAACACAUGCAAGUCGAACGAAGUGGCGAACGGGUGAGUACUACGUGGGUAACCUGCCCUCCUUUUUGGGAUAAGCCUUGGAAACGGGGUAUAAUACAGAAUAAAGGGGGAUGGGCUCGAGGCCUAUCAGCUGGUUGGUGGGGUGAUGGGCUACGAAGACGGUGAAGGGUGGCCGGCCUGAGAGGGUGAUCGGCCAUAUGAGGACUGCGAGACGGCCCAGACUCCUAGGCGAGGGAGCACUGGGGGAGAUUGCGCAAGGGGCGAAAGGCUGAUGCGCCGACGCCGCGAGGGGGAUCAAGUCGUACGGGUUUGAAACUUCUUACGCUAUCGAACGGGUAGGUGGAGAAGAAGCGCCGGCUAACUACGUGCCAGCAGCCGCGGUAAUUC
rnacentral:rRNA from 1 species